rfam:Triticum aestivum genome assembly, contig: Triticum_aestivum_CS42_TGACv1_scaffold_392635_5AS
CUAUUACUCCCUCCGUUUGGAAAUACUUGUCAUCAAAAUGGAUAUACCUACAACUAAAAUACAUCUAGAUACAUCCAUUUCAAUGACAAGUAUUUCCGGACGGAGGGAGUACCUA